rnacentral:ncRNA from 10 species
CAUAAGCAUCAAGAACACUAAUUGUGUACCAACCGAUCUUCCGAGACACGGUGGUUUAGAAUGCGGGACAAUCGUUCAAAAGAUUCGGAAAUC